rnacentral:rRNA from 1 species
GAUGAACGCUGGCGGCGUGCCUAAUACAUGCAAGUCGAGCGAACAGACGAGGAGCUUGCUCCUCUGACGUUAGCGGCGGACGGGUGAUUAACACGUGGAUAACCUACCUAUAAGACUGGGAUAACUUCGGGAAACCGGAUCUAAUACCGGAUCAUAUAUUGAACCGCAUGGUUCAAUAGUGAAAGACGGUUUUGCUGUCACUUAUAGAUGUAUCCGUGCCGCAUUAGCUAGUUGGUAAGGUAACGGCUUACCAAGGCAACGAUGCGUAGCCGACCUGAGAGGGUGAUCAGCCACACUGGAACUGAGACACGGUCCAGACUCCUACGGGAGGCAGCAGUAGGGAAUCUUCCGCAAUGGGCGAAAGCCUGACGGAGCAACGCCGCGUGAGUGAUGAAGGUCUUCGGAUCGUAAAACUCUGUUAUUAGGGAAGAACAAAUGUUUAAGUAACUACGCACGUCUUGACGGUACCUAAUCAGAAAGCCACGGCUAACUACGUG